rnacentral:rRNA from 1 species
UACGUAGGGAGCAAGCGUUGUCCGGAAUCAUUGGGCGUAAAGAGCGUGUAGGCGGCCCGGUAAGUCCGCUGUGAAAGUCCAGGGCUCAACCCUGGGAUGCCGGUGGAUACUGUCGGGCUCGAGUCCGGAAGAGGAGUGUGGAAUUCCUGGUGUAGCGGUGAAUGCGCAGAUAUCAGGAGGAACACCAAUGGCGAAGGCAGCACUCUGGGACGUGACUGACGCUGAGACGCGAAAGCGUGGGGAGCAAACAGG